rnacentral:rRNA from 1 species
AUGGCGGAGAGGCGGUCCGGCUACAGGGACUGGGACAGGGACAGGGCGGCGUCCGAGGCCGGCAGGUACUGGAGGCCGCCGCGUUCCCAGGCUCACGGUGGUGGAAAUGUCUCUGUUCCACUAUGGGAGAAGAAAUUUUGCACCGAUGCUUGUUCUAUCCCCUGGGGUAAGCUAUGCGAAGCCAAGAAAUUGAUGUCAUUGUACACAAACAUUGUUGACUGGGAUGAUUCGGCUGCAUUCGAGGCUUUCAAAGAUGCAAAGGACCGUUUCUGUGCUGCAUAUCAUGGUCAACCUUGUUACAUCCCAUUGCCUGACCCAGACAUGUACAUUGAUAUGGUCAACCCAGAUGAAUAUAUCGAUCCUGAGUUGGUUGCUGAUCUGGAGAGGUCACGGCGUCGUGCUCCCAGAAGGGACAGCACCGCCCCAAAUGGCUGGGACUCCUUCAUCUUCGCAGACAAGCCAGUUCCGGCCACAGGAUGGGGUGAUGGGGAAACAACCAACACCAUUGGCCAACAAUGCUCUGUAAACUGGGAUAAUCAUGUGGAACAGCUCGUUGAAGCAAAUUGCAAGCAAAGCUCGGUGAACUGGGACAGUUACGUCAGUCAGCCUGCUGAAACAUUUGUUCAGCAAAGCUCAGGAAACUGGGACGCGUAUGUGGAACAGCAAGGUCAGACAAGCGGCUGGGGGGCGCCGAUCAUUCCCUGCACAUCCAAUUGGGGCAUGAAUGGUGACCCGUGGAACCAUGACUAUGGCUGGGGCUCUUCAGCUAUUCAGACAGAUUCAUGGGGCGACCAGAAAGAUAGCUACUAUGUGCCUGACAGCCAGGCUCAGGGCAGCUCAGACGGGCACUGGAGAAGGCGAAACAGCCAGUCGGGCAGGCGGAACAGCAGGAACAGAGACAGAGGGGGUCCCAUCAGCUCAAAGGCCAUGAAAUCCAAGUAUCAGGCGGACGAGCACGGCGGCGCGAAUAACGGGUGGAGGCACUGCCGGGUGAGAGAUAACAUGCAGUACUCUUAUGAGCAGCCUGGUUAUGCUGCCAACCAGUCACUAGCAAUGUGA